GAUCCUGGCUCAGGAUGAACGCUGGCGGCGUGCUUAACACAUGCAAGUCGAGCGAAGCAAUUUAAGUGAAGUUUUCGGAUGGAUCUUAAAUUGACUGAGCGGCGGACGGGUGAGUAACGCGUGGAUAACCUGCCUCACACAGGGGGAUAACAGUUAGAAAUGACUGCUAAUACCGCAUAAGCGCACGGUACCCACAGUGGUACAGUGUAAGAAAACGUCCGGUGGUGUGAGAGUGGACUCCGCG
rnacentral:rRNA from 1 species